rnacentral:rRNA from 1 species
AUUGAACGCUGGCGGCAGGCCUAACACAUGCAAGUCGAGCGAGCGGCGGACGGGUGAGUAAUGUCGGGGAAACUGCCGGACGGAGGGGGAUAACUACUGGAAACGGUAGCUAAUACCGCCAACCAUCGGAUUUGCCCAGAUGGGAUUAGCUAGUGGGUGGGGUAACGGCUAACCUAGGCGACGAUCCCUAGCUGGUCUGAGAGGAUGACCAGCCACACUGGAACUGAGACACGGUCCAGACGCCUACGGGAGGCAGCAGUGGGGAAUAUUGCACAAUGGGCGCAAGCCUGAUGCAGCCAUGCCGCGUGUGUGAAGAAGGCCUUCGGGUUGUAAAGCACUUUCAGCGGGGAGGCGUUACCCGCAGAAGAAGCACCGGCUAACUCCGUGCCAGCAGCCGCGGUAAUUC